rnacentral:rRNA from 1 species
UACGGAGGGGGCUAGCGUUGUUCGGAAUUACUGGGCGUAGAGCGCACGUAGGCGGCUUUGUAAGUUAGAGGUGAAAGCCCAGGGCUUAACCCUGGAAUUGCCUUUAAGACUGCAUCGCUAGAAUCGUGGAGAGGUGAGUGGAAUUCCGAGUGUAGAGGUGAAAUUCGUAGAUAUUCGGAAGAACACCAGUGGCGAAGGCGACUCACUGGACACGUAUUGACGCUGAGGUGCGAAAGCGUGGGGAG